rnacentral:rRNA from 1 species
UAACCUACGGGGGGCAGCAGUGAGGAAUAUUGGUCAAUGGGCGCAAGCCUGAACCAGCCAAGUCGCGUGAGGGAUGACGGUCCUAUGGAUUGUAAACCUCUUUCGUCGGGGAGCAAGGCCCGCCACGUGUGGCGGGAAGGAGAGGACCCGAAGAAAAAGCAUCGGCUAACUCCGUGCCAGCAGCCGCGGUAAUUCGGAGGAUGCGAGCGUUAUCCGGAUUUAUUGGGUUUAAAGGGUGCGUAGGCGGAAGGUUAAGUCAGCGGUCAAAUGUCGGGGGUCAACACCGGCCUGCCGACGAAACUGGG